GACGAACGCUGGCGGCGUGCCUAAUACAUGCAAGUCGAACGCAGUUGGGACGGUUGCGUAACACGUGGGUAACCUCCCCAUCAGAGGGGAUAACACUUGGAAACCGGUGCUAAACCGAUACUGAUGGAUGGACCCGCGGUGCAUUAGCUAGUUGGUGAGGUAACGGCGCACCAAGGCCACGAUCCAUAGCGGACCUGAGAGGGUGAUCGGCCAACCUGGGACUGAGACACGGCCCAGACUCCGAAGGGAGGCAGCAGUGGGGAAUAUUGUGCAAUGGACGAAAGUCUGACCGAGCAAGGCCGCGUGAGUGAAGAAGGUUUUCGGAUCGUAAAACUCUGUUGUUAGAGAAGCGGUAUCUAACCAGAAAGCAACGGCUAACUACGUGCCAGCAGCCGCGGUAAUAC
rnacentral:rRNA from 1 species